rnacentral:lncRNA from 1 species
GUGUGCAUGUGCCUGUGUGCAUGUACCUGUGUGUGUGUGUGUGUGUGUGUGUGUGUGUGUGUGUGUGUGUAGGAUGAUGUUUGAUACCUGAUGUUUUCUUUGGUCAGAAGCUUGAUUUGGAUAGUCGACCUAGCCAGCUUGCCUAAGGAUCUGCUGCCUAUGUCUCUCAAGGAAGUGUGAAGAUUAUGAGUGGGCUGCCAUACCCACCUAGCUUUUAAAAAAUGUGUAUAUGGCUGUCUGUCUAUAUGUAUGUAUGUAUGUAUGUAUGUAUGUAUGUAUGUAUGUAUAUACAUAGAUGUGUGCAUGCCGGGACACUUGUACAGAGGCUAGAGGACAGCUUACAGAAGUUGGUUGUCUUCUUCUACCAUAUGGGUCCCAAGGAUUGAAUUUAAGUGUCAGGCUUGGUGGCAAAGGCAUCCUUACCUGCUGAGUCAUCUUAAGAGCAGACCCCAACCUGGCUUUUACGUGGGUCCCGGGACCUGAACACCAGUCCUAGUGCUAUUGUAACAAGUGCUUCAUCUGGUGAGUGCUCUCUGUUGCCCUUCCUUCUUUAUUCAGUAAGAUAUUGUCAGUGUCUCUCAAAGCCAAAGAAUACACAUCUCUCUCAUCUCUAGAGGGUUGCUUCCUUUUCUUUGUUUUCCUUUUCUUUAUUUUUUAUAUAUUUGAAUUACAAACAAGAUUGAAUUACAUGACGAUCCCAGUGUCUUCUUUUUUAUAGACUGAUAAUCCAUCAGUUACUCAAGCAUUUACCUGUUGAGAUGACACAUCCUCUUGAGGCAUCGUUGAGUCACCCAGGCUUGAGCUCUUUCAAGGCAGAAGACAAUACUGACUUAAAACUACCAAUGGGCAUCUGGGCCUGUGGAUGGAAGGAAGUCAAGCAUGGACCAGGGACCUUUUUACUAGGAAUGGCGACUUCCUAGUGUCCGGCAUUUUGAGAAAACCUGUGUUCUGUCAGCCGCUAAGAGCACAGAUCUGUGUGUUGAUCAAGACAGAAGUGAGACUGAGAAAACCCAGAACUGAGGUAAAUAGUUCCAGGAAACACCAGAAGGCCUGUCACGAUGUUCUGUGGUAUUUCAAGUGAUUUUUAAAAAGGUGAAAUUGGGGUGAAUAUGAGGGAAGGUAAUUUAAGCAACAGCUUAAUCUGAGAAACAAACAAACAAAAGUCUGAAAAGCACAAUGUGGAUUUUAUUUUCCGUGUAAUGUUAAGAUAAUUUCUCCCCUUCAAGGAAACGAGAAACUGUUGAUGAACUUGAGUUGGGGCACACUUUGAAAAAUAGCCACAUCCUUUAUCAUAACUCCCUCCAUCUUGAGUGCUUAUCCAUGAUGACCCUCUUCUGGGACAGGUGGGAAUAUUUCUUCUUGCAUCCUUGCUGCUAGGCACAACUCAGGGCCACAAUUUUGAACAAUAGAACAACAGUGAAACACGAAGAAGCCAGCUUUGUUUUCUCAAAGCGAAGCCUUUGCGGUCGUUUGCUAUUGUGACCCAUUUAUGAGACAGGUGGGAACGGGCCUCUGCCUGGCACUAGUAGUUGUUAAACACUCUUGAACCUUACUAGAUGCUACUGAGUGCCAUUAAUACUGUUACAGUAGUAGUAGCUCUGUGUUGAGCUCUUUUUUAUUGUAAAUAUCCUUUUAGUGUUUUCUAUGAAUAAAGAAAAUGUUCGCGAG